ACCACAUAUUAUACCCCCUUUUUCCAAAUCUUGGUCUUACUUCACCCACAAUUGUCUUUGGAUAAAGAGUGUGCAAUGUUCUUGAAUAAAUUUUCAGGAUCAAAUAUUAUUAUCAUAGUAGAUUUCUGUGAAAAAUAUUUCUACAUACCAUUAAUUCUUUCCCUUUGAUCAAAUUUGGCUCAUACUGCACAUACACACUUGUAGGUAAAGGGGUUUGCAAUGACAUUGAACCAGGUUUAUAGAUCAAACAAGAAGGUCAUAGCAGAGCUCUUUGUAAUCCUCCACCAGAACAUAUUUUUUUCGCAGACUCUAACAGAAGACUUCAUGUAGGUUAGGAGUGUUUGACCUUGAACCAAAUAUCUAUACCAGAAUGGAGGCCAUAGACCUUUGUGUUUUAUCUUUGUCUACUUCCUUUUUCUCCCCCCAUUUCUGCCUAAAAUUUAUUAAUUUUAUAAACAAGUGCCUGUUCAUUUUAAGAUGUGCAAUGAUUUGGAAUAUUUUGUACAUAUCUACCUGGUGUUAACAGGUUUUCAAUUCAGCAGUGUAUGGAUGUGUUUGGAGCCAAAUUCAACCAGGAACUGAUCCAGAUGGGAAUCAACAGAACCAACACAAACUAUGGAGGCUAUGGGAUGAGGGCCACAAAGAUAGUCUUCCCAAAUGGAUCCAUUGAUCCCUGGCACUUCCUUGGAUUCACUAAAGAUCUGUCAAUGGAGUCACCAGCCAUUUAUAUUCAGGGAACAGCCCAUUGUGCCAACAUGUAUCCAGCAACAAGUGAUGACUUGCCACAGCUAGUGCAAGCAAGGGCCACCAUAGAAAAGCUGAUUGGAACUUGGCUCAGCUCAAAUUAGGCUUGCUCAAAACUUAAUUGUCUAUAUUUUCAAAUCUAAAAGAUGAAUUAUAAUUUGUUGAAGCCUCAUAAUGUAACUCAGAUUACUAAACUGUCUCUGCGUUCUUUCCAAUAUUCGUGUGUCAUGCCGACAUUCACUUACACAUUGUGAGAUACUGUUCAUUAAUUUAAAUUUUAUUGUACGUCACUUUUGUUUUUUUUAAUACAAAUGCAUUUAGAUUUCUUUCUAUGUUGAAUGUCAAAUGAUGAGUCACAAUAAAACAGGAAAGAAUU
rnacentral:misc_RNA from 1 species